AUGGGUCCUUGAAUCAGUUCAUUUAUUUAAUCUCCAGAAAUAAGUAAAUGGGUAUAUUUCAAAUGUAAAAGGGGAUUAACGGUUUCGGGAGAUAUGUCAAACACAGUGUCUUUUAUUAGAAUUACAUUAUGUUAAUUUGUAAAAAAAAAAUGUUUUUUUUUUAGUUUCAAAUUUUAAAAUUAUUAUAUAUCUUUAAUUAUAAAUCGUGUUAAAUUGGUCUCUUUAGUCGGUUCGUCUAUUUAAUCCCCACAAAUGACUAAGUCCAUUAAAAGGGGAUCUAGGGUUCCAGAGAUUGAAAAUUAAGCGAUCUUCAUAGUUAUUGGAGAAAAUGUCGGAGAGUGGAAAUUUUG
rnacentral:lncRNA from 1 species